UACAGAGGUGGCAAGCGUUGUUCGGAAUUACUGGGCGUAAAGAGCGCGUAGGCGGUCGGAUUAGUCGCGUGUGAAAGCCCCCGGCUCAACUGGGGAGGGUCACGCGAUACUGUUCGACUCGAAGGCAGGAGAGGGAAGUGGAAUUCCCGGUGUAGUGGUGAAAUGCGUAGAUAUCGGGAGGAACACCAGUGGCGAAGGCGACUUCCUGGCCUGUUCUUGACGCUGAGGCGCGAAAGCUAGGGUAGCAAACGGG
rnacentral:rRNA from 1 species